CUGAAAAUUACUGGAAUUGAGAGGGUACCAGAAACCACACAGCUGGAAAGUACUGGACCUGAGCAGUCAAAGAAUACACACAGCUAAAAUCUACUUGACUGGAAACUAUUGGACAGCUGGAAACUACUGGCCUUGAGCAGGUACCAGAAACCACACAACUGGAAACUACUGGAUUUGAGCAGGUACCAGAAUCCACACAACUAGAAACUACUGGAUUUGAGCAGGUACCAGAAUCACACAACUGGAAACUACUGGACUUGAAACCACACAACUGGAAACUGCUGGACUUGAAACCACACAACUGGAAACUACUGGACCUGAAACCACACAACUGGAAACUACUGGACUUGAGCAGGUACCAGAAACCACACAACUGGAAACUACUGGAUUUGAGCAGGUACCAGAAUCCACACAACUAGAAACUACUGGAUUUGAGCAGGUACCAGAAUCCACACAACUAGAAACUACUGGAUUUGAGCAGGUACCAGAAACCACACAACUGGAAACUUCUGGACUUGAAACCACACAACUGGAAACUAAUGGACUUGAGCAGGCAGUAGAAUCCACACAACUGGAAACUAAUGGACUUGA
ensembl:lncRNA